ensembl:lncRNA
UAUUGCCGUGUGUCCUGUCAGAUAAACCCCCGCCUUCACGCACUUCGUCGUGGGAGGACAAGGAGACUGCUGGUCCUAGCCUAGUUCAGUACAGUAUAUGUUGUGAGCGUGCUUCAGAUCUCCGGAGAUAGCACAGUACGCUGUGUCCAGCCCAGAGGUGAAAGCCAUCCAAAGCAGAGUAACUGUGCUUUGCGUCCAAGUUGAUACCUGUGGAGAGGAAAGGAAAGAGAGAUUGAUGCCUGUGGAGAGAAAAGGAGAGAGAGUGGGUAACACGAGGAGAGACCGAGGAAACCUGUACUUACGCC